CAGUCAUUUGCUCUGCAGUUAACUGAACAACCUGCAGGCAAUAAGGGGGCUUGUAACAGAUAUUAUAAGACCCCCAGGUCCGCCAAGCCAUAAAAUGUCUAAAUUCCUUUGGGAUUUAUUAACUAAAUAGUGAAUUAUGGGCAUCUGCUAUCUGAAUUUAGAAUCAAAUGGCAGAAUUGGAAAAAACAAAAAUCUACUGAAU